GCAGUCGUGGCCGAGUGGUUAAGGCGAUGGUCUAGAAAUUCAUUGGGGUCUUUUCGCACAGGUUCGAAUCCUGUCGACUGCG
rfam:Ixodes scapularis strain Wikel colony gcontig_1108379323204, whole genome shotgun sequence.